rnacentral:rRNA from 1 species
ACCAGACUCCUACGGGAGGCAGCAGUGGGGAAUAUUGCACAAUGGGGGAAACCCUGAUGCAGCAACGCCGCGUGAGUGAAGAAGUCAUUCGUGAUGUAAAGCUCUAUCAGCAGGGAAGAAAAUGACGGUACCUGGGUAAGAAGCCCCGGCUAACUACGUGCCAGCAGCCGCGGUAAUACGUAGGGGGCAAGCGUUAUCCGGAUUUACUGGGUGUAAAGGGAGCGUAGACGGCCAGACAAGUCUGAAGUGAAAAUCCAGCGCUUAACGUUGGAAGUGCUUUGGAAACUGCCGGGCUAGAGUGGGCGAGAAGUGCGCGGAAUGCGUGGUGUAGCGGUGAAAUGCAUAGAUAUCACGCAGAACUCCGAUUGCGAAGGCAGCGCACCGGCGCCCUACUGACGCUCAGGCACGAAAGCGUGGGUAUCGAACAGGAUUAGAUACCCUUGUACA